rnacentral:rRNA from 1 species
GGGCCCGCACAAGCAGCGGAGCAUGUCGUUUAAUUCGAUGCAACGCGAAGAACCUUACCAGGUCUUGACAUCCAACUAAACUCAUGGAGACAUGAGGUCCCUUCGGGGGAGUUGAGACAGGUGGUGCAUGGUUGUCGUCAGCUCGUGUCGUGAGAUGUUGGGUUAAGUCCCGCAACGAGCGCAACCCUUAUGAUCAGUUACUAACGGGUAAGGCCGAGGACUCUGAUAAGACUGCCGGGGACAACUCGGAGGAAGGUGGGGACGACGUCAAAUCAUCAUGCCCCUUAUGACCUGGGCUACAGACGUGCUACAAUGGCGACUACAAAGAGGUGCAAGACUGUGAAGUUGAGCGGAUCUCAAAAAAGUCGUCCCAGUUCGGACUGUGGGCUGCAACCCGCCCACACGAAGUUGGAGUUGCUAGUAAUCGCGGAUCAGAAUGCCGCGGUGAAUACGUUCCCGGGCCUU